rnacentral:lncRNA from 1 species
CGCUGUCCCAAAUAUGUUUACUUCAUCAUAAAAUUUCAUACUUGUCAGAUCAUUAGUUGUGUUAUCAUAUCAUUCAAAGGAACGAGAUAGGAGCAGCAAACAGAAAACAAAGAGAACAAAUAUAUGAAAAAUGUGAAAUUAAACUAACCGGCCACAUUUGCUGGACAUGAGCACUUUGCAUAGUCAAUGUAGAAGGGACACCAACAGCUGCAACAUCCCAAUUCCAAACUUA